UGGUGGAGUGGCGACAAGGAGCCAAAAGACGGGUGGCCGGUCUAUGAAGCCUCCAUCAUCAAGCUAGCAGAAAUCCCACCUCUCCUUCUGGCUACAGAGCACUUACUUACCAAGCCCAUGAAAUCGAAUGCAGAUCUUCCUGAUGUGAGAUUUACAUAAAUGUAAGUAAUUUGUUUGUCAUUGUCAUUAAUGUUGUUGCUGUUGUUGUUUUUGUGAAGUUUGCAAUAUAAACCUAGCAAGCAUCAGUCAGCACAGUGACUAACCUAAACAGAUUCUUGCUUUAUUCACAUAUAUUAUAUGUAAUUAUAUAUACCUGCACAUUGUACCUAGGGUUGCAGCCACUUGGCCCCACCCCAUUGUUGUGACAGCCCUGACUGUACACUGCAUCUGAACAGGGAACAGUCUGCCACAUUAAUGUAUUUUAAGUGACUUGUUUGUAAUACAUGAAUUUGCUUCUUACAGAUGUCAAAGUCUCAACCUCAUGCUGCCCUCCCCCAUCCUCCUAAACCUGUGGAUACAAAUGCAGAUUUCCUUAAUGUUCAAUGGUGCGUGUUCUUCUAAUGGCCGCCUUCCCACUGGAGGUUUUGAUCCACAGCAAUUUAAAAGGAGGACAGAGCAAAACGGACAUCGGCACAGAGUGAAGAACUGCCCUUCACAAGGACACUAUGACAGCCAUAUAUAUGGCGGUAAGGAAGAGGUUUCCCAAUGUGUCCAGAAGGGCUUUGAGGAUUGCAGUGAAAGCUGGGGGAACUGAGACUGCUGGAGAAGGAAAAGAAAUUACAUUUUAAGUAUGUUGACUUAUGUUAAUACAAUCACACAGAAAAUAUACACAUACACACACACACACAUAUAUAUAUAUGUAUAUAUGUGUGUGUGUGUGUGUGUGUGUUUCUUUUAGAAUGUUUAAGUAUGUAAUGAGAAUAAAAUUAUAAA
rnacentral:lncRNA from 1 species